AUUCCUGUAAGACUGGAAGUGUUGUAGUAACGGACUAGGGUUAAGGUAGGAAUUACGAGCGCUGUGGAAGACGUCUGACUUUCUGCCUGUGCCAUUUCAUUCGCCAUAGGACCCAGGGACUUGCACUGGCCCAGAUAUAAGCAAAGACCUUCCAGACAAGGCAGAGAAAGAAAUCACUGAAGGGAAACCGCGUUUAAAAAAAUCAGCAAUGCAUAAACGAGCCGGGAGUCCAAGACAGUCGCUGUCCUUUCUUCUCUCCGGUCUGACUCGGUUCUUUAUUUAAAGAGGCAGUAAUGUUGGGAGGUAUCCGUAUUGUCACAUUAAAGCAAGCGUACAACGUCCAUAUACAUAAUUCAUAAAUCCUCAACUCCAGACAUCAACCCUCCCUUCAGAUAACCAGAGCCCGAAAACUGAACUCAAGACCUGCGGCGGACUGGCACUCGUGCAGCCGCUGAACUCCAGGUGAAGCCCGUCCUGUGCCCACCUUUGGGAGACAGACCUUCAGAAACCAUUGGAGGAAGUACAAACGCGCAAGGAGAGACCCUAUCCCCACUGAACAAGGUUAACGAGCUAAAACACUGCAAGCGGUUUCCACCAAGCAGGGGGGUUCACAGAGAGUGAGAGGGGGUUGGGUGGGGGGUGAGAGGGGGUUGGGUGGGGAGGGGGAAGAGCAACCUCAGAAUGUGUUACCAAUGCGGGCUUCCAGUACACUGGAAACACUCAGUCUGGGAAUAAAAAAACUUUCUGCACAGUUUGGACAGCGAUGCUGUUGAGAGGUAAUUAACGAACUUGCAGUGAUUUUACAACCCUUCCACUAAAUGGUGGGCAUCUAUCUGUUUUAUGCACUGGAAUCCCAAACAUAGCACGGAGUAAACGGAUCACUGUGGAAAACACUCUGCGGAGAGAAGGGGAGAUGGUGUGGGCAGCUAUACCAACACAACGCCUCCAAUUAUUUCAGUCAAGAGCUCAAAACUAAAUAAAAUCCACUCAGUGCACUGCUCCUUCUGUACAAAUAGACCCCUAGAUUUAUAGAUACAGAAUAUAGAUGUUAUAUUAUCUACGGCAUAUAUAAUAUUUGUUUUAUAGACGGAUGAUCUGAGUAUCUAAACUUUGCAGCCUGUUAACUUGCUUUCCCAAUGGUCACCAUAAAUUUAAUGAAAUCUAAUUUUUUCACAAAUGAUACAGCUGUAUUUCAAUAAAAUCAUUACUUAUUA